rnacentral:rRNA from 1 species
ACCUACGGGGGGCAGCAGUAGGGAAUUUUCGUCAAUGGGCGCAAGCCUGAACGAGCAAUGCCGCGUGAACGAGGAAGGUCUUCGGAUCGUAAAGUUCUGUUGAAGGGGAAAAAGAGCGGAGAGAGGGAAUGGUCUCCGAUUGAUAUUACCCUUCGAGGAAGUCACGGCUAACUACGUGCCAGCAGCCGCGGUAAUACGUAGGUGGCGAGCGUUAUCCGGAAUGAUUGGGCGUAAAGGGUGCGUAGGCGGCCUGCUAAGUCUGGAGUGAAAGGUACCGGCUCAACCGGUACAGGCUCUGGAAACUG